rnacentral:lncRNA from 1 species
AGGUUUCCUUAAAUAUUGGCUUAUUGGCAAGUCUGGCACUGAAGCGAUAGCGGAGAUUGUCCAAGGAAUGGAGCAGGAUGUGGGCUGAAAGGAAGUGAACCAUGAGCAUGAGUCUACUGUGCCCAGCAGAAGAGAAAAGUGUGACUUUUGUUUACAAUUAGUACAGCUAAUGCUGUGCAGGGUCAUGUGGGUCGGAAGAAGAAGAUUUCUCUUCAACAUGCCUCAAGCUCUGCAUGACAAAGGUCCCUGGGAUGUGAUUUGUGCAGAGG